CAGCCGCCGCGGUAAUACGGAGGGUGCAAGCGUUAAUCGGAAUUACUGGGCGUAAAGCACACGCAGGCGGUUUGUUAAGUCAGAUGUGAGAUCCCCGAGCUUAACUUGGGAACUGCAUUUGAAACUGGCAAGCUAGAGUCUUGUAGAGGGGGGUAGAAUUCCAGGUGUAGCGGUGAAAUGCGUAGAGAUCUGGAGGAAUACCGGUGGCGAAGGCGGCCCCCUGGACAAAGACUGACGCUCAGGUGCGAAAGCGUGGGGAGCAAACAGGAUUAGAUACCCCUGUAGUCCCUGUCUCUUAUAC
rnacentral:rRNA from 1 species